rnacentral:tRNA from 1 species
GGGCCGUUAGCUCAGUUGGUAGAGCGCUUCCAUGGCAUGGAAGAGGUCAAGAGUUCAAGUCUCUUACGGUCCACCA